rnacentral:rRNA from 1 species
GUUUUGACUGUUGUCGGGGGCCGGGAGUUCUUCGGAACGUUUGACCGGCCCUGUCUGCAUCCUUGUCUAUUGCGUACUACUUGUUUCCUCGGUGGGCUUGCUCACCGAUUGGACAACCAUUAAACUCUUUUGUAAUUGCAAUCAGCGUCUGAAAAAAACUAUAAUAGUUACAACUUUCAACAACGGAUCUCUUGGUUCUGGCAUCGAUGAAGAACGCAGCGAAAUGCGAUAAGUAGUGUGAAUUGCAGAAUUCAGUGAAUCAUCGAAUCUUUGAACGCACAUUGCGCCCCUUGGUAUUCCAUGGGGCAUGCCUGUUCGAGCGUCAUUUGUACCUUCAAGCUCUGCUUGGUGAUGGGUGUUUGUCCUGUUCUUUUGCAACUGGACUCGCCUUAAAAUUAUUGGCAGCCGGCAUAUAGGCCUUUGGAGCGCAGCACAUUUUGCGAUCUAAGCCGUUAUACUGGUACCCAUUAAGCACAAUUUUAUCACUUUUGACCUCGGAUCAGGUAGGGAUACCCGCUGAACUUAAGCAUAUCAAUAAGCGGAGGAA